rnacentral:rRNA from 1 species
UACGGAGGGUGCAAGCGUUAUCCGGAUUCACUGGGUUUAAAGGGUGCGUAGGCGGAUAGGUAAGUCAGAGGUGAAAUCUCCGAGCUUAACUCGGAAACUGCCUUUGAUACUAUCUAUCUUGAAUAUUGUGGAGGUAAGCGGAAUAUGUCAUGUAGCGGUGAAAUGCUUAGAUAUGACAUAGAACACCUAUUGCGAAGGCAGCUUACUACGCAUAUAUUGACGCUGAGGCACGAAAGCGUGGGGAUCAAACAGG